AGAGUUUGAUCCUGGCUCAGGAUGAACGCUGGCGGCAUGCCUAACACAUGCAAGUCGAACGGGGUUUAUAUAACAGAACUCUUCGGAGGGAAGAUAUAUAAACCUAGUGGCGGACGGGUGAGUAACGCGUGGGCAACCUGCCCUGUACCGGGGGACAACAGCCAGAAAUGGCUGCUAAUACCGCAUAAGCCUGCGGUGCCGCAUGGCACAGCAGGGAAAACCACGGUGGUACAGGAUGGGCCCGCGUCUGAUUAGUUAGUUGGCAGGGUAACGGCCUACCAAGACGAUGAUCAGUAGCCGGCUUGAGAGAGUGGACGGCCACAUUGGGACUGAGACACGGCCCAGACUCCUGCGGGAGGCAGCAGUGGGGAAUAUUGCACAAUGGGGGGAACCCUGAUGCAGCAAUGCCGCGUGGGUGAAGAAGCACUCCGGUGCGUAAAGCCCUGUCAGCAGGGAAGAAAAUGACAGUACCUGACCAAGAAGCCCCGGCUAACUACGUG
rnacentral:rRNA from 1 species